rnacentral:lncRNA from 1 species
AUGAAACAAGGUGGCUCACAAGAACUGUCUAAGGGGACCCAACUUCUCACCAUGGGAUGGAUCAAUAGCUCAAUAUUAUCAGCUACUACGUAUCGACAUUUCCAGCACACUAGGCACUGUGCUAAGAACUUCUACGUACAUUUAAUUCCGCUGUGUCCGAAAUACACCAAGCAAAACCCCUGUAAACUCCAAAGGUAGGUCGUAUCAGCUUCAUUUUAUUUAGUUUUACUUUUUUGAGGCAGGGCUCACUCUGUCACCUGGGCUGGAAUGUAGUGGCACCAGCAUGGCUCCCUGCGGUUUCAACCUCCUGGGCUCAAGCAAUCCUCCCAUCCCAGCCACCGACCCUCCCACCCCACACAGUGUGUGCCACCACAUUUGGCUCAUUUUUUGUAGAGAUGUGGCUUUACUAUGUUGUCCAGGCAAAAUCCCCAUUCUGUGGGUGAGCAAGUAGCCAAUCUAGGCCAAGAACCCACGUUUGACUCCAAAGGCAAACUCGUUUGUAGCCUCUCGGUUUCAACAGCCAGAAGAGGGAAAGUGGCCAUUGUACAACAUGUUGAGAGAAUAAGAUUCUUUUAGUAUAGGCCUUAAGAUAGACAAAUCAGAAGCUCAAUACAGCUCUUCAGUAGAGGCAAUAGCCAGUUCAUGUGAGAGCUCUGCAGUGAUCACUCGAGGGGUAACUUGACAGGAGAAGUAGGAAUAUAGAAUGUACAUAUGCAUGGGUUUGCACACAUGUAUUUAGUAAGACAUGUAUUGACCUGUAUAUACACACAUAUAUAUGCAUUAUUAGCUUUUUGCUUCUGUAAUUUAACCUUGGUUGAACAUGGUAUUGUUUUAUCUGUUCCUGAACAAAUGUGAGAAAGAUGGGAUAGAGUAGACUCGAAUAAGCAUAGUCCCAAGAUGAAUGGGCUUCCCAGUAUGGCGGGUGGUCUUGUAGUAUGCUUAGAGAUGGGAGGCUCAGAACAACUUAACACGAACAAUUUGUUUCUGUGUCUUUGUCUUUAGCAAAUCAUUAGAGACCAAAAAAAAAAAAAAAAAAAUUGUCUGUCUCCCUCAACUGAGGAUUUCCUAAUUUUGGCAUUGCAGAAAGGCACUAUCUUUUAGCUUACCUGAUACGGUUUAAUAAAGAGGCUUGUUGCUCAGCACAACUGUUAUUUUUAAAAAUUUUUUAAAAAUUAGUUUGCUGCUGCGAUUUUCUUCUGUUUUUGUCACUGUGAUUCGACUUUUUAAGAUAGCCAGUCCCAAAAGCUCAAAUUUCCCAAUAUACCACUGGGAAUAAUGGGAAGUGGAGCAGCUCUGCUUCUGGCUCUUCACCUCUGAACCUAUGUAUUCUUUCUCUCAGAGGCAUAGAGCAAAAUGAAGGUCUUUGCGUCAGUCCAUAUGCUGCAUAUGGCGGAUGAUGUAAAUUCU